GACGAACGCUGGCGGCGUGCUUAACACAUGCAAGUCGAACGAAGUGGCGAACGGGUGAGUAACGCGUAAUCAACCUGCCCUUCAGAGGGGGACAACAGUUGGAAACGACUGCUAAUACCGCAUACUGAAGGAGGGGAUUGCGUUGGAUUAGCUAGUGGGAGGGGUAACGGCCCACCAAGGCGAUGAUCAGUAGCCGGUCUUGGGGGAGGGACGGGCAAAUUGGGACUGAGGCACGGCCCAGGCUCCUUCGGGAGGCAGCCGUGGGGAAUCGUACGCAAUGGAGGAAAGUCUGACUGAGGAACGCCGCGGGAGUGGUGACGGCCUUCGGGUUGUAAAGCUCUGUUAAUCGGGACGCGGUACCGGAAUAGAAAGCCACGGCUAACUACGUGCCAGCAGCCGCGGUAAUUC
rnacentral:rRNA from 1 species